rnacentral:rRNA from 1 species
GACGAACGCUGGCGGCGUGCCUAAUACAUGCAAGUCGAACGCAGUGGGGACGGGUGAGUAACACGUGGGUAACCUCCCAUCAGAGGGGAUAACACUUGUCAACAGGUGCUAAACCGAUACUGAUGGAUGAACCCGCGGUGCAUUAGCUAGUUGGUGAGGUAACGGCUCACCAAGGCACCGAUGCAUAGCCGACCUGGGAGGGUGAUCGGCAACACUGGGACGGAGACACGGCCCAGACUCUUACGGGAGGCAGCAGUAGGGAAUCUUCGGCAAGGGACGAAAGUCUUACCGAGCAACGCCGAGUGAGUGAAGAAGGUUGUCGGAUCGUAAAACUCUGUUGUUAGAGAAGCGGUAUCUAACCAGAAAGCCACGGCUAACUACGUGCAAGCAGCCGCGGUAAUUC